UUGGAGGAUAUAAAGACUUCAACUUGUUUACUUAAAGAAUUUGAAGACUUCAACUUGAAUAUUUGGUGGAUUUAAAGACUUCAACU
rnacentral:pre_miRNA from 1 species